rnacentral:ncRNA from 1 species
CUAACCUCUGCCGGUCGUUGAUAUUCAACGACCGGCUUUGACAGGCCGACCA